GAUGAACGCUAGCGGCAGGCCUAAUACAUGCAAGUCGAACGGUGUCUUCGGACAUAGUGGCGCACGGGUGCGUAACACGUACGCAACCUACCUUACAUUGGGGGAUAGCCUUUCGAAAGGGAGAUUAAUACCGCAUAAGACAGUAGCUGGGCAUCCAGCAGCUGUUAAAGAUUUAUCGAUGUAAGCUGGGCAUGCGUCCAAUUAGCUAGUUGGUGAGGUAACGGCUCACCAAGGCAAUGAUUGGUAGGGGAACUGAGAGGUCAAUCCCCCACCCUGGCACUGAGAUACGGGCCAGACUCCUACGGGAGGCAGCAGUAGGGAAUAUUGGGCAAUGGACGCAAGUCUGACCCAGCCAUGCCGCGUGCAGGAUGAAGGCGUUAUGCGUUGUAAACUGCUUUUAUACAGGAAGAAACGACUCUUGCGAGAGGCAUUGACGGUACUGUAUGAAUAAGCACCGGCUAACUCCGUGCCAGCCGCCGCGGUAAGAC
rnacentral:rRNA from 1 species